rnacentral:rRNA from 1 species
GCUAAGGAUCUUCCGCAAUGGGCGAAAGCCUGACGGAGCGACGCCGCGUGGACGAUGGAGGCCGGAAGGUUGUGAAGUCCUUUUCUCGGGGGGGAACAACCGUGCCAGGGAAUGGGCGCGGGGUGACGCGGACCGAGGAAUAAGCCCCGGCAAACUACGUGCCAGCAGCCGCGGUAACACGUAGGGGGCGAGCGUUGUUCGGAUUCAUUGGGCGUAAAGGGCGCGCGGGCGGCCGGGCGAGCCUGCCGUGAAAUCCCCGUGCUCAACACGGGGGGGUCGGCGGGGACUGUCCGGCUGGAGUACCGGAAGCGGCGGCGGAAUUCCUGGUGUAGGGGUGAAAUCUGUAGAUAUCAGGAAGAACACCGAUGGCGAAGGCGGCCGCCGGGCCGGAUACUGACGCUGAGGCGCGAAGGUGCGGGGAGCGAACAGGUUUAGAAACCCUUGUAGUCC